rnacentral:rRNA from 1 species
UACGUAGGGGGCAAGCGUUGUCCGGAAUCAUUGGGCGUAAAGAGCGUGUAGGCGGCCAGAUAAGUCCGCUGUGAAAUCUCGAGGCUCAACUUCGAGCUGUCGGUGGAAACUGUCUGGCUAGAGUCCGGAAGAGGAGAAUGGAAUUCCUGGUGUAGCGGUGAAAUGCGCAGAUAUCAGGAGGAACACCGGUGGCGAAGGCGGAUCUCUGGGCCUGUCCUGACGCUGAGGCGCGAAAGCUAGGGGAGCGAACAGG